AGCGAACGCUGGCGGCAGGCCUAAUACAUGCAAGUCGAGCGCACCUUCGGGUGAGCGGCGGACGGGUGAGUAACGCGUGGGAACGUGCCCUUUGGUACGGGAUAACUGAGGGAAACUUCAGCUAAUACCGUAUGUGCCCUACGGGGGAAAGAUUUAUCGCCAUUGGAGCGGCCCGCGUUGGAUUAGGUAGUUGGUGAGGUAAAGGCUCACCAAGCCUACGAUCCAUAGCUGGUCUGAGAGGAUGAUCAGCCACACUGGGACUGAGACACGGCCCAGACUCCUACGGGAGGCAGCAGUAGGGAAUCUUGCGCAAUGGGCGAAAGCCUGAUGCAGCCAUGCCGCGUGUAUGAUGAAGGUCUUAGGAUUGUAAAAUACUUUCACCGGGGAAGAUAGUGACGGUACCCGGGGAAGAAGCCCCGGCUAACUUCGUGCCAGCCGCCGCAGUAAUAC
rnacentral:rRNA from 1 species